GCCACUCAUUCAAAGAGUGCGUAAUAGCUCACUGGUCGAGUGAUCCUGCGCCGAAGAUUUCCGGGGCUAAAACUUACUACCGAAGCUACGGCAUCAGUAAUGAUGGGUAGGGGAGCUUCCCAUACGGGUUGAAGCAUGACCGUAAGGACAUGUGGACAGUAUGGGAGUGAGAAUGUUGGCAUGAGUAGCGAGAUGUGGGUGAGAAUCCCACAGGCCGUAAACCCAAGGUUUCCAGGGGAAGGUUCGUCCGCCCUGGGUUAGUCGGGACCUAAGCUGAGGCCGAAAGG
rnacentral:rRNA from 1 species